rnacentral:misc_RNA from 1 species
ACCGAUAUUGGCGACUAUCAGGUAAAACUACGCAACCUGGUUCGCUUUAUUGAAGAGGGUAACAAGGUCAAGGUCACUAUCCGUUUCCGUGGUCGCGAAAUGGCGCACCAAGAAAUCGGUGUUGACGUUUUGAAUCGUUUGAAGGAAGACACUGCUGAAAUUUGUUUGGUAGAAAGCUUCCCGACGCGAAUCGAAGGUCGUCAAAUGAUCAUGGUUCUUGCCCCUAAAAAGAAGUAAUUUCGGCAUACAAGUAAUGUAAGAGGCUAUGCCUUAGGGCAUAGCCUCUUUAUUCGCCGGGUUACAUAGUUAUUAACAUGCAUACAAUGCGGAGUUAUUCAUCAUGCCUA